rnacentral:lncRNA from 1 species
UGGGAUUCGAGUAAAUCUUCGAAUUCCCAAACUGCCUCUUUUAUGAGUUCAUCCAAAGCAUUCACCUCUGUCCUGAUCUUGCUGCAGCUGGUCUCAUCCAAUUCGAGUAGAACUUUCUGCAAUCGAUCCAUCUGGUCGUAGGCAGGUUGUAAGAUUUGUGGAGAGUGGGAAACGUGAGAAAUGCGAGACGAUUGUAGAAUAUGCUGAAUCGUAUUCUUGAGAGAAGCCGCCGCACCAAAAGCCGCCAUACCCAAAUUAUCAGCUGAGAUACGAUAUAUUGUUGAAAUGAAAUUGCUUAGGUCUGCAAUUUUCCUCCAAAAUGAAGCUUAAACUAAACUGCAAUUAACCCAGAAUAAAAUUCAGUCGCCUAAGAAAGAAACGAAGAAGAAGAAGAAGGAAUUAUAAUAAGCAAACGCAGACGAAACAAAUGAUAGAUCUCAGUUCUCUGCUUACCUCUCGAAGGCGGCGGCAGCUGGUUUUGAUACAAUUUCAGAAACAUUCAAAACCACAUUCAAGAAUUUUAGUAAAUGAUUUGAAAAGAUGUGUAUAAUGUAAUGGUAAAAUCGAUCUAUUGAUGAUUUUGAAUGCAAUUGUGUGGAAGAAUUGUAGCAAGAAACAAAGCAACCGAAGAUUGUAAUUAUUAAGAAUGAGCAAUCAACCACUUGAAAAUUAUGAAAGAAGUGUGAAAACACAUGGCUUCCACUAGUUUUCGUAAAAGAAAACGCACGCCAAUAAAGCUAAUAAUAAAAUAUCCUAUAUAUAAUUAUAUUGGGUCCUAGCCCAAGCUUAUCAAUUCCAUGUGUGUAUGUAUUUAAUUUUAACAAUAAAAUUUUAAUUAAAAUAAAAAAAUUAACCAUAUAUGAAUUAAAAAAAUUACAAUAAUUUAAAUAAAAUAAAAUAAAAUUACAAUAAAAAAUAUCAAUUCCAUCAUUGUCGUUCGUAAUAUUUUUUUUAAUUACAAUAACAUUACUUUUUUUUAAAAUGUUGGAUUGUAAAGAUGAUACUCCCUCCGUCCACAAUUUAAAGCCCUACUUGCUCUUAAAUUUUUGUCCACAAUUUAAAGCCCUAUUAUGACUUUUGUACUUUUUUACUCCUCUUCUUUUCUUAUAUUUAGUACCAUUUGUCACUAAUGGACUCACCUUAAAACACAUUUAUCAUUUUAAUAUUCUAUAUUUACUACACUUUAUCACUAGUGGACCCACUCACAACACCUUUAUCACUUUAGUCAACUACCUUUAUCAUUUUAGUCAAUACCUUAUAUUUCAUCUGCAUCAUCUUUUUCAGUUUUCUUAGUCUCCGUACCCACACCAAAGUGGGGCUUUAAAUUGUGGACAGAGGGAGUAGUACUUUUUUAGAAUUACAAAAGGUAUCUAAUAUAUAAUUAAAUAAGCAAUUCACAAUUCUACAUCAUACAAAGAUGAAAACAAAAGAGAGUGCCUUAUCGACAAUUAACAUUACUUUUUAUUUAAUGACAACCAAUGGAAACAACUUUUGCACGAACUCAUAAAAAAGUCAACGUAUAAAAUUUCUAUAGGAAAAUUUCUUAUGUAAAAUCACAACAAAAAAUUAAUUUUUUACCGAGGGAAUUAUCCCUUGCUAACUUUUACGUCGGGUCAAGUAUCGGCUGAGUAUUAAUUUUACCGAGGGAAAAUCACUCGGUAAUUUUUCUAAAUUCACCGAGGAACAUUUUCCUCGGUAAUUUUCGGACACUUUUUAUUAAAAUAUCGAGGGAGAUUUCCCUCGGUAAUCCCUCGGUAAUUUUUUAUUUUUUAUUAAUAUUUAAUUUUUAUUUUUGACGUACCUAGUGACGACAAUCUUUUUAUCAAUAAAUCCAACCACAAUAACAUCUUUUCAUAAUCUAAACAUAAUUUUAAAUUUUUAAUUUCAUUCAACAUUGUUCAAUGUCCAACAAUAUGUCCAUAUGUAAAUAUUAUAAUAAUGUAUCAAAAGUUACGAAAUAAACUACAUCAAAGCUAAAUAUCAUAAUAAUGUAUCAAAAAGGUACUAAAUAAACUACAUCAAGGCUAAGGAUUGUCUUCUGGUAAGUCUGAACCUCCUGGGCCACUAUUCCUCGACUGCUGCCUGCUGGGACCUCAUGAACUGCUGAAACAUCUCAUUAGUUACUCGAAGUGAUUCCUCCAAUCGGAGUUUAUGUUCACGCUCCUCUUGAAGCUGCUGCUGCUCUUCAAAUCGAGCAUCAACGUGCUGUGAAUGGAUAGUCUGUAAUGUAACGCCCACGAGACUCUGUGCAAAGAUACCAGUGCCGAACAUCCUCCGCCCAAGAAAAUGCCAAAGAAAUUUAUCCGUAGAGUGUGAAACAAUUGACCUCGAUAUCAAUAUCAGUGCAAGUUUGCGCAAAUGUUUUUUUUCUCUCUCCUCAAUUAUUGGACUUUUUUGUGGAACGUGAGUUAUCUUCGUUGCUCAUUCCUACUAUAUUCCCUACUAGAAUAACCUCUCUCACACCCACACACUCUCCCUUUGAAUCGGUUUGAGCAAUUGAAACGGUUUGGUUCGGUUUAAAAAUUUAGGGGCGGUUUGGGUUCAGAUUUUUCCACUACGGUUCGUUUUCAACCCAAACUGCCCGAAUGCUCAGCCCCACAAUAAGGCCAUAGUUUGAACUUUCAACUACAAUAACCACUCUCUCUCUCCUCACACACCACACACUCUCUCUCUCCCUUUGAGAAUUGAGAUGGGGGAGGCUGCAGUGGCAUUCUUGCUGGAGCAAGUGAAGGAGGUGGUGAUAGGUUACGCCGAUCUGAUUUUCGGAGCGGAGAAUGAGUUGGAGCAGCUGAAGAGCGACCUGGCUUUACUCAAAGGUUUCCUCAAGCAGAUGGCGGAGAAGAAGAAGAAGGAAGAUCCGUUGAGGAUACUGGAGAGGCAGACGAGGGAUGCGGUGUACGCGGUCGAGGACACCAUAGACAAAUGCUUCACCAACGCCAUCGCCAAGAAAUCCUUCCACCGCUCUGUGGGUUUGAAAAAUGUGAGCCUCGCCAAGGAGGUGAGAUCUAUUAGAGAAGACAAAGUCAAACCAUUGCUUGACAAGUUUGCUACAUUCGAUUUCAAAUCUGCAGGCGUCCAAGAUUCAUUGACUGUGUCAAAAGGGGUACAUACUCAUUCUCAUCCUAUUUCCAUUUUCUUUUUACUAGCAGAGAUUACGUGCGUUCGCUCGUAAAAAAGAAUUAUUUUAAUGAAUAAAUUUUUAUGAGUGUAAAUUUAUAUUUUAUUUCAUUUUAUAGCAAUAUUUAUCAUUUUGAUGUAUUUUUUGAACCAAUUAUUGAUUAAUAUUUUAAAAGUAUAAUGUUAUUGAACUCAUAAAAUAAAAUUUAUUUAAAUAAACAUCACCUAAUUUUGUCUUCGUAUUUAUUUUAUAGGUUUCAUCUUUACAUCAUUAAUUUUAAUUCCAAAGAUUCUAGCAAAAUUAAAAUUAUAAUUCUUUGUAUUUAUUAAUUCUAAAUUAUUAAAAUUAUAUAAUAAAAAAUACUAGUAACUUAUAUGAUGAAGAGUCCUAAUGGAUGCUACUACUUAAAUAAUUAUUAAAAUAUAAAGGAUAAACCAUAAUAUAUUUAUAGAUAUAUUAUAUGUGUAAUAUAUUAAAUUACACAAUUGACAUUACAUUAAGUAUAUAUAUGAGGGACAUAAUAGACAAAUCAAAUUUUGUAAAAAAAGGCUCUUUUAUAAUAGGUAUAGAUUAUCAUUUUAAUUCUAAAAUUAAUAUGGAGCAACGAUGAGAAGUUGAGAAUGACUCCCUGUGUCCACAAACAAAAUUGACACAUUAUACACUGCAUAAAUUUUAAUAAAAAUGUAAGUAAAGUUUUUUUUAGUGAUGUAAGACUCAUUUUAAAUGUAAAUAAAAUUGAAUGGAUUCUAUUACUCUCUUCAUCUCAACAAAGUUGAGUCGUAUUUCUUUUCGUGUGGUCCCAACACACUUUCUAUUACUACAUCAUUUUUAGUUUGCUGGCUAUAUAGCCUAUAUUUGAUCUUUGUUUUUUGAAAAUAAAUAGGUUGUACAAACUUUGCUUAUGAAAAAUAUUUUCUAUGCAUGCACAAAGUCUUAUGACGGAGGAUUCAACUUGACAUCAUACACCUUAUCCUCCCUUGUUUAAAUUGGUGUUGGCGGCCAUUCUUACUUUCUGUAACAUUCACACAGGAUACACCAAUCAGACAAAACAGAGUAGUAGGAUUUGACAAGGAAGAAGCUACCAUAAGUGCCUAUCUCAAGGAAAAAACAGAUAAGCUCGAUGUUAUCUCGAUCGUGGGCAUACCUGGACAGGGGAAGACAACAUUGGCAUGGAAGAUUUAUCAGAGCGAUGAAAUCGGUUAUCAUUUCCCCAUUCGUAUCUGGGUUAACAUCUCUCAAGUGUUCAACAGCAGGGAUGUGUUCCUCGAAAUCCUGAAAAGAUUCUUCCCCAGCCAAGACACGUCCAGCCUCAACUUCAACGACUUGGCUCAAACAGUUCGCGCGUGUUUGGAGAAAGAGAAAUUCUUGUUAGUCUUAGACGACGUGUGGAGUGUCGUUGCGUGGGACAAGAUCAAGGAGGUGCUUCCAGUAGACAAUGGGGAGGCUAAAGUCCUCAUCACCACCCGAGAAACAGACGUGGGAGAGAAAUCCAGAGUCUACAAAGCUCCCCACAAUCUGAAGUUCCUAGAUAAUGAUGAAAGUUGGGAGCUCCUCCAAUACGAGGUGUUUGGUUUGGAAGACUGCCCGCCAGAACUGAGCACCGUUGGUUACGUUAUAGCCAAGAAGUGUGAUGGAGUGCCACUGACUAUAGUUGUGAUCGGAGGUAUCCUCUUCGACCAACUCACGAAAUCUCGAUCCACGGCUGCGAGUGAAUGGGAGACGGUGUCUACAAGUGUGAGUGGUGCCCUACAAGAUGACAAAACGCAGCGCAUAACAGAAGCUGUAGAGUUGAGCUACCAAAGGUUGCCAGAUGACUUGAGAGAAUGUUUUGUUUUCUUGGGUGUAUUUCCAGAAGAUUAUGAGAUUCCAGCUAAGAUGCUGUGCGGGCUGUGGAUUUCAGAAGGGUAUGUACUUCCGAGAAACGGGAAAAGCUUGGAGGAAAGCGCUGAAGAUAAUAUGAAUGAUCUCAUUUGCAGGAACUUGUUAAAGGUCGAGAAAACUAAUCACAUGGGCAAAGUUAAAACGUGCCAGGUUCAUGAUAUGAUACGUGCGUUCUGCAUAAAGAUAUCCAAGGACGAGAAUUUAUGUCACGAGAUUAAAACAUCCAAGACAGGCGCACUUGAACCUCCAGUUUCUGAGGUAAAAGACUCUCAUCGUCUUUGUUUCCGCUCCAAUCUCUCAAAGUUCCUGCAGGAAAGCCCGUGUGGUCCACACGUUCGUUCAUUUUUGUGUUUCUACGAGCGGCCUGUGGAGUUGGAGCCACAAUACAUAACAGUUAUACCAGAUGGCUUCAGAAAGCUUAGGAUUCUGGAGUCCAGGUGCAUCAUAUUCAACCAAUUUCCAGCAAAGAUUACCAAACUGAUUCAUCUUAGGUACCUCACCCUAUAUAUUGAAUCUCUGAAAAUUCUUCCAGAACCAAUCACCCAGCUAUGGAACCUACAAUCUCUUGUAGUCGAGACCAAGUCUCGUUCCAUUACAAUGAAAGCAAAUAUGUGGAGAAUGGUGCGGUUGAGGUAUCUCAAGACGAGAGCAGCCAUUGUCCUCGACAAUAAAUGGAAAGGUGAUGCAGGGCAGAACCUUCAUACGUUGAAUAGAUUGGCACCCGAAUGUUGCACGGAGGCCGUCUCCAAAAGGGCUAAAAACCUCAAGGCCUUGGGGAUUUCUGGUAAAGUGGCCAUUGUUUUUGAAAAUAAGUUCCUAGAAAACCUGCAUCAUCUGGAAAAGUUGAAGCUGGUGAAUAGUGUAACUUAUGAACAGACAUCCGAAGAUAAGCUGCACAGCCUUCCCCCACAGAAUCGUUUCCCGCCAUCUCUCAAGAGGCUGACAUUAACUAAUACAUUCCUGGGUUGGCAGCACAUGUCCACGUUGGCAACGAUCAGAAGCCUCGAGGCUCUAAAGUUGAAAGACAACGCAUUCGUUGGGCUCCCGUGGAAUCUUGGUCUUGACAGCUUUCCUAAUCUCCAACUCUUGCUGAUUUUAAACACAAAUCUAGUUCUUUGGGAGGCCUCAACUGACUCCUUUCCUAAGCUCAGGAUUCUUGUGGUUAAGAACUGUGAAAACCUCAAAGAAAUUCCAGAGUGUUUGGGAACACAUCUUGAGAAAUUGGAAAUAGAUCGCGUUCGCUUUUCUGCAGUUCAGUCCGCCAAGAAGAUCGAAGAAGCAAAGAAGGGAAAAUCAAAAGGCAAAUUUGAGUACCAUUCAAUCUCAUCGUAGGUCCUGCAUGUGAUACCAAGUGAUCGAGGCAAGUUUUAUUUUUUGGUAUCAGCAAUUUGAUUCAAUGCAUGUGAUGUGUUUCAAUGCGCAAAACAAGAGUUUCAAUAUUGUUCUUCAAUAUGGAUGUAUUGUUGGUCUUGUGGUUUAUUAGAUGAAAAAUGUUUAAGUAUCUGAUGUAUGCGAUUUAGUUGUCUAGAUUUGAAUUGUUUACCGUGAGUUUUAAUUGAUAUUGCCCAAGUUUGUUGGUAUGUUUUGUGCAAGAAUUGCAUGGCUUGCGAGUAAAGAGUUGUGGAUGCGAGAAGCUGACCAAAGACAUGAAUUUUUGUGAAGUUUUAGCUUGGAUGAUCGUACGCAGUUUAAACUAAAUAUAAAUUUGAUUUGAUUAAUUUUAGCAAAAAAAUUAACCAAAGACCACAUACACACCCCUAAUCUUUUUACGAAUCACACACACUUCCCUCAAAAAAAAAAAGUCUUAGGAUGCAUUCUCUUUGAUAGAAAAUGAUGAAAUACAUAAUAUUUUUCCAUUUUUUUUUCACUAUUUCAACUCGUUCUCUUAGUUAGAAAAUUGCACACCAUGUUAAAAUAUCACUUUUCAUAUAAUAUACAUGUCAAGUUGUUAUUUUUAUUUUUUGUUUAAAGAAGAUUAAUAAUAGUUCUCUAUGGUGGAAUAUCUAAAGUGCCAUGGGUUUUGAAUGUCUUCUAAAGAAAUUGAGUAGAAUUUGAUGCCUUUUAAUAGUGAGGCAUAAUUUAAAAGAUAAAUGAUGGAGUUGGGCCUUAACUUUUUGUAUUGGGCCGAAAUUUUGUUUAUUAUAUGAAGAAGCCCAAUUGAUAGGUAAUGCCGUAAUAGGUUAGCUGAUAAAAAUGCUUUAGAAAUUUUAUGAAUGAUAAUUAAUCAAUUCUUUUCUUUUCUUCUUUGACAACGAGAGCUCUUAAUCAGAUUCACUUCAUAGCUAAAUCAACAACAUUUUUAACCUCACAACUCUUGCAGUUCUUUGACAAUUUUUAACCAAAUCGGUGUCGAAAAUUCGAAGUUCAAUAAGUUUCAAAAAACUCCCUGGUGCUAGUCCCACUCUGGGCCUCAAAAAAACUCCAUCCCCAAAUAACUUCCCAACUUUUAUUUUCGGUCCGAGCCCUAAAAGGUGCCCGAUUUCAUGAAGAGCAUCGAGUUCCAAGUCGAAAGCACCCGCAACCGGCUCGAUGGACCGCCGCUCGUCGGCGUCGUAAUGAAACCUUCCAUUUCUUUGAUGUGAUUAAGCAAUCAACCAAUUUGAUCAAAGUCUUUAUGCGCGUUGAAAAUUAUCACAAGCUGCUUCCAAUUCAACUUUGAUUUUAAUAUUUUUCAACUACCAAAUUAAAUGAAACAGUGUUAAAUUAAAUUGAAUUUGAUGCCUUAUAAUAGUGAUCAGGCAUAAUUCAAAAGAUAAAUGAUGGAGAUGGGCCUUAAUUUUAUAUUGGGCCGAAUUUUUUUUAUUAUAUGAAGAAGCCCAAUUGGUCUAUGUUAAUUGAUAGGUAAUAGGUUAUCUGAUAAAAAUGCUUUAGAUUAGAAAUUUUAUGAAUGGUAAUUAAUGAAUUAUUUUCUUCUUUGACAACAAGAGCAGAGCUCUUAAUCAGAUUCACUUCAUAGCUAAAUCAACAUCUUUAAGUUUUCUGUAGUUUUCAUUCAAACUCACACCAAAUCAUGGAUUUUCUGUAGUUUUCAGCAAUCUUCUCAACCAAACAACUUUUAAAUUUCAACAGGGAUCGCAUCUCAACAAAUGUUCAUAUCGAUAAGUUUCUACUGAGGGGUAUCAUAAAUUUGAAAUAUGAAGCCAGAAAUUAGUUAGUAUAUUGCCAGAAUCUGAAAAUUUUAAGCUAUUAAAAACAACACAUAAACUGAUUACACAAAUAUUUAUGUCCAAUAAAAUUAAGGGUUAAUUGCCGGAAAAACCAUAUACUUUNNNNNNNNNNNNNNNNNNNNNNNNNNNNNNNNNNNNNNNNNNNNNNNNNNNNNNNNNNNNNNNNNNNNNNNNNNNNNNNNNNNNNNNNNNNNNNNNNNNNNNNNNNNNNNNNNNNNNNNNNNNNNNNNNNNNNNNNNNNNNNNNNNNNNNNNNNNNNNNNNNNNNNNNNNNNNNNNNNNNNNNNNNNNNNNNNNNNNNNNNNNNNNNNNNNNNNNNAGAAAAUAAAUAAACUGGAAUUAAAUAAAUAAAUAAACUGAAAAUUCGAAAAUAAAUAAAUAAAUUAAUUAAAAUCUGAAAAAAAAAUCAGAAAAUAAAUAAGCUUAAAAGUUCAAAUAUAAAUAAAUAAACUGAAAAAUCGAAAAUAAAUAACUAAAUUAAAAUCUGAAAUAUUAUUAUUUUUAGAAAAUAAAUAAACUGAAAAUUCUGAAAAUAAAUAAAACGGAAAUUAAUAAAUAAACUGAAAAUUCAGAAAAUAAAUAAAAUGGAAUUAAAUAAAUAAAUAAACUGAAAAUUUGAAAAUAAAUAAAUAAACUGAAAAUUCAGAAAAUAAAUAAAUAAACUGAAAAUUCGAAAAUAAAUAAAUUGGAAAUAAAUAAAUAAAUAAACUGAAAAUUUGAAAAUAAAUAAAAAAUAAAUAAACUGGAAUUAAAUAAAUAAAUAAACUGAAAAUUCGAAAAUAAAUAAAUUUAAUUAAAAUCUGAAAAAUUAUUUUUUUUAGAAAAUAAAUAAACUUAAAGUUCGAAAAUAAAUAAAUAAACUGAAAAUUCAGAAAAUAAAUAAAUAAAUAAAUAAAUAAACUGAAAAUUCGAAAAUAAAUAAAUAAAUAAACUGAAAAUUCAAAAAAUAAAUAAAAUGGAAUUAAAUAAAUAAAUAAACUAAAAAUUCGAAAAUAAAUAAACAGGAAAUAAAUAAACUGAAAAUUUGAAAAUAAAUAAACUGGAAAUAAAUAAAUGAAUAAAUAAACUGGAAUUAAAAUUUUCAGAAGAUAAAUAAAUAAAUAAACUGAAAACUGAAAAAUAAAUAAAUAAACUGAAUAUUUUAAAAUAAAUAAACUGAAAAUUCAGAAAAUAAAUAAACUGGAAAUAAAUAAAUGAAUAAAUAAACUGGAAUUAAAAUUUUCAGAAAAUAAAUAAAUAAAUAAACUGAAAAUUCGAAAAUAAAUAAACUGAAAAUUUAGAAAAUAAAUAAACUGAAAUGAAUAAAUAAACUGAAAAUUGAAAAAUAAAUAAACUGGAAUUAAAAUUUUCAGAAAAUAAAUAAAUAAAUCAACUGAAAACUGGAAAAUAAAUUUUUUAGAAAAUAAAUAAACUGAAAAUUCGAAAAUAAAUAAAUAAAUAUACUGAAAAUUACGAAAAUAAAUAAAUUGGAAAUAAAAUUUUCAGGACAUAAAUAAACUGGAAAUUUAAAAUAUCCUACUCCAUUUAAUUAACAUCAAAAUUGGAUUAAGUAGACAAGUAAUGGUAGAGUGUGGUGGGUCCAAUUGGUAAAGUGUAGUAAUUUAAAAAGUAAGGGAGGGUAUAUAAGUCCAAAAAGCAGAGUAGGUAGUUAAUUGGUGGACAAAAUUUUAGAGGCAAAUGGGUAGUUGAUUGGUGGACGGAGGGAGUAAUAAUUUAAACUAAAACAUAGAUAUUUUAAUAAUUCAAACUAAAACAUAUUUACAUCAAAUUAUAAAUAUGAUAAAAGUAUAUUUCUACUUGCAUUAGAAUUCUAUUUAUUAUCUAAUAAAAGCAAUGAAUUACUAGAUUUUCUAAAAUAAUAGAUUAUCAAAUGAAAUAACAUUAAUUACACGUAUAACGUACGUUCUUUCUGCUAGUAUAUCAAAAAUACACAUAAACAGUUUUCAGACAAAUCCAACUUACAACAAUUUUGGUUACAAACACAAUUCAACACUCAGGUUUCACAAUCCAUAAAUUCAUACAACAAUGUGGUAAUACAACAAAUGAAAUUACGGGAUAACACGACGUCUGAUCCCUUUGAUCGGCUCUCUCGUUUGCCUGAAAAUCGGUAGAUGGACAAUCUCAAACACUGUGAUUAUAAUAGGAUCAUUAAGACGUGAUAAUGCAAGGCAGACCUAUGCAAAUCCUUGUGAUAAUCUAAAUAAUUCAAAAUCGAUCAAACUGCUUGAUAAAAAUAAUGCAAACUCUCAACGUUGAGGGAACAGCCUGUGACUUAAAAUAGAACACAUAUAAUACCACUAGUUAAAGAAACAAUAUUUGUUGUCCAAUGAAAUUAACAUCAAAUCUUGAUUUCUACAACUCGAUCUAAAAUCAAGAGCACUUUAUAUGAGUUAGCAACAUCUACAGAAUGGCUUCUGCAGAGUGGAAGAGAGAAACUCAUUUUACGAGCACGAACACGCUAUCGAUUAACAUUAAAUAUGAGUUUGGAAAGGCAAUGUAAUUAAUAAAUAUUUUUAUAGUAUUUUGAUUCGAAAGUUCGAAAGUUAUUAUCCUAAUUUCCAAAUCAACCUAAGUUAUUGUCCUACAAAAACCCUCUAACUCCGACAACAUGAUAAUACAACAAUUGAAAUUAUGGGAUAACACGGCGUCUAAUAGUUUUGUUUUAUAGAUAUAUUCAAAAUUAAGUGAUUGUAAUUAAGUCAUGAUGGCAAGAGCUAAAGCCUAAAUGAGCUGAAACAAUGAAGAAUGUUACAUGUUUCACUUACUGAUGUAAAUUUACUAGCAAUUAAAACACAAUAGCAUUUCACAAACUUAAGAUAUGUAUUUGAUGUGGAAAAUGCACACACUUAUUUUUCUUAAGGGUAAUUUUAUACAUAGCCCCCAUUUUACUCACUAUAGCAAUCUAAUUUAAAAAAUAAUAAUAUUUUUUACUAUUUUGCCCUUUAACUCUUAAAUUAAUUAUCAACUAACUAACUACUUCAAUUUUGGAUUAAUAUUAAUUAACAAAGUAAAUAUCCAAUAUUUCGUAGUCUUUAAUAAUUUUCUACUUUUUUUCUUCUGAGGGAAAUCCUCUUCUACAUUCGAUAACCCUUAAUCCUUAAUCAAACGAAAAAUAAAAUAAAAACAGAAACAAAAACAAAAAUACAUCCAUCACUCCAUAGCCCCCAUUCGUAUUCGAUCUUCUUCUAAUUUCUAUGUUUUCAACUAAUUAGCAAUCGGCAAAUCCCUUUCGUACAUUUCCUUUUUCACUGAUUUAUCACUUGCUAUUCUUGUCAUACACUUUAACUGUGCAGAUAUCUAUAAAUCUCAUCAAAUAAUAACUUAAUCACCAUAACUCCAAAUUUUUGUGAAAAUAAAUACGUUAAAAAAAUAUAGCCCCACCUCCUUCUGACUAUUCUUAUAUUCUCAUGAAACAAAUUCUGAAAUUUAGUUGGAUUGCCAGAAUAAUCAUCUUUGCAGAAUCAAUUAAACAGAACAAUGCAUUGAAAAAUUUGUUCAUACGCUAUGGCUCCCGUCGAAAUCCCUAGGCCUUCUAAACUCAGCGUAAACUCUACAAUUUGGGGGCUAUGUAUAUAAUUUAUUAUUAGGAAUUUAUUUUGAGAGCUAUAAGGGUAGAUAUGUACAUUUAUAAUUAUUUAAAUAAUUUUUUAAAUUAGAGGCUAUAAAGAGUAAAAUNAAAUUACGGGAUAACACGACGUCUGAUCCCUUUGAUCGGCUCUCUCGUUUGCCUGAAAAUCGGUAGAUGGACAAUCUCAAACACUGUGAUUAUAAUAGGAUCAUUAAGACGUGAUAAUGCAAGGCAGACCUAUGCAAAUCCUUGUGAUAAUCUAAAUAAUUCAAAAUCGAUCAAACUAGUUGAUAAAAAUAAUGCAAACUCUCAACGUUGAGGGAACAACCUGUGCCUUAAAAUAGAACACAUAUAAUACCACUAGUUAAAGAAACAAUAUUUGUUGUCCAAUGAAAUUAACAUCAAAUCUUGAUUUCUACAACUCGAUCUAAAAAUCAAGAGCACUUGAUAUGAGUUAGCAACAUCUACAUGUACAAUGGCUUCUGCAGAGUGGAAGAGAGGAACCUCAUUUUUACGAGCACGAACACGCUAUUGAUUAACAUUAAAUAUGAGUUUGGAAAGGCAAUGUAAUUAAUAAAUAUUUUUUAUAGUAUUUUGAUUCGAAAGUUCGAAAGUUAUUAUCCUAAUUUCCAAAUCAACCUAAGUUAUUGUCCUAAAAAACCCUCUAACUCCGACAACAUGAUAAUACAACAAUUGAAAUUAUGGGAUAACACGGCGUCUAAUAGUUUUGUUUUAUAGAUAUAUUCAAAAUUAAGUGAUUGUAAUUAAGUCAUGAUGGCAAGAGCUAAAGCCUAAAUGAGCUGAAACAAUGAAGAAUGUUACAUGUUUCACUUACUGAUGUAAAUUUACUAGCAAUUAAAACACAAUAGCAUUUCACAAACUUAAGAUAUGUAUUUGAUGUGGAAAAUGCACACACUUAUUUUUCUUAAGGGUAAUUUUAUACAUAGCCCCCAUUUUACUCACUAUAGCAAUCUAAUUUAAAAAAUAAUAAUAUUUUUUACUAUUUUGCCCUUUAACUCUUAAAUUAAUUAUCAACUAACUAACUACUUCAAUUUUGGAGUAAUAUUAAUUAACAAAGUAAAUAUCCAAUAUUUUUCGUAGUCUUUAAUAAUUUUCUACUUUUUUUCUUCUGAGGGAAAUCCUCUUCUACAUUCGAUAACCCUUAAUCCUUAAUCAAACGAAAAACAAAAUAAAAACAGAAACAAAAACAAAAAUACAUCCAUCACUCCAUAGCCCCCAUUCGUAUUCGAUCUUCUUCUAAUUUCUAUGUUUGCAACUAAUUAGCAAUCGGCAAAUCCCUUUCGUACAUUUCCUUUUUCACUGAUUUAUCACUUGCUAUUCUUGUCAUACACUUUAAUUGUGCAGAUAUCUAUAAAUCUCAUCAAAUAAUAACUUAAUCACCGUAACUCCAAAUUUUUGUGAAAAUAAAUACGUUAAAAAAAUAUAGCCCCACCUCCUUCUGACUAUUCUUAUGCUAUUUGGUCACCGCCGUUGUAAGUUAUCUCAAUUUUGCCGGCAUCAAAGUGUGUGCUCGAUCCAAUUGGAUUGUAUUCAUAUAUUCUAAUGAAACAAAUUCUGAAAUUUAGUUGAUUGCCAGAAUAAUCAUCUUUGCAGAAUCAAUUAAUCAGAACAAUGCAUUGCAAAAUUUGUUCAUACGCUAUGGUUCCCGUCGAAAUCCCUAGGCCUUCUAAACUCAGCGUAAACUCUACAAUUUGGGGGCUAUGUAUAUAAUUUAUUAUUAGGAAUUUAUUUUGAGAGCUAUAAGGGUAGAUAUGUACAUUUAUAAUUAUUUUAAAUAAUUUUUUAAAUUAGAGGCUAUAAAGAGUAAAAUGGGGGCUGUGUUUAAAAUUACCCUUUUCUUAAUUGCCUCAGCAUCACAUAUAACAUUUUCUGUUAGUUUUACUCCUAUUACGUACAUAUUUUAUUUUAAGGUUUUUUUUUGUGUAUUAUAUACAUAUUGGGCCCAAGUCGGAAUAGAAGAAAAUUAUGUCAUGGGGAAUUCAGCCCAACUCAAAAUCUGGUUUUUGAUGUUGAAUUGUUGAGCUUAAUUUGAGUAAAUUGCAGUGUUUUAAUUGCUUCUUUGUUAUCAAUUCAAGGAAUAAAAAUGGAUUAUAUAUAGUUAGGCAAAUUUAAAAGAUAAAUGAUGGAGCUGGGCUUAUAUUUUGUAUUGGGCCGAAAAUUUAUUUUUAUAUAGAGAAGCCCAAUUAGUGUAUGUUAAUUCAUAGGUAAUAGGUUAGUUGAUAAAUGCCUUAGAUAUUUUAUUACUGCUUAAGGAAAGGUUUGUUGAUCUAUGUGCGCGGCCUUUAAAUUUCUUUAUUUAUGUGUAAUUUAUCCAAAAAAAAAAAUUUACUUCAUAGCUAAACCAACAACUCCUACGGUUACUAAUAAAAUUAACAUCAAAUCUUGAUUAAUUACUAUAACUACGAUCUAAAUACAAGAGCACUUGAUAUGAGUUAGCAACAUCUACACAAUGGCUUCGGCAGAGUGGAAGAGAGGAACCUCAUCUUACGUACGAGCACGAACACGCUAUCGAACCUCAGUUGGCUAGAAUCCGUUACUCCAACGAGUCUUAUCUGCGUCUGCUUCUAGUCUGAGAUGACGGUGAGCUUGAGGAAUCUACUCGACUUGACUCAGCUCGAUUCGUUUGCUUCUUUCUGCGUCUCCACGCGAGUUGGAUCCGUCUAGCUGCAAUUCCUCGCCAAUAAGGCGAUUCAUACCUACAAUGCAAAGAAGGCAACGAGUGCAAUAUAUGAUGCUCACAAUGCUAUGCACGAACGUGUUUGCAAGCUAACGAGCCCAAUACUUUCAAGUUAAUCGAUUCAUUUAUAGGUUAUGCAUUAUAAAGAAGUUACCUUAUGGCGCCUUGAACAAGUGAACUCCUUAAGAAUCUUGCGAAGAGAUCUUCAAAAACAGCAGCUCGUAAUACAAAGGCCUCGACGUUUGUUAAACAAGUUACUAGUAAUCUACAUACAGCAGAAACUCACCUGCGGCAGGGGAAGCAACUCUCGAUCGUCUCUUUCAUUUGCCUGAAAAUCGAUAGAUGGACAAUCUCAAACACUGUGACUAUAACAGAAACAUUAAGACGUAAUAUUGCAAAGUAGUAAGACUAACCUGUUAGGCAAGUUGCAGACUCACUUGACCUCAAAAAGAAGAUUCGACGAAAAGGUCAAAGGAAAACUUGUCUUUUAAUUCAUUGGCACAAGCGACAACUAAAGGAUUGCACUCGCGUAAAUGAAUGAUCUCUAUCGAAGAGUGGUCAUACGGCCAAUCGAGCUGUUGUAAUUUGUAGCAAUGUUGCAUGCUUAGUCUACGAAGCUCCGGGAAGCUUCCACGUUGAGGUCUCCAUCGCACCAUAUCGGUGUCUUCAAUUUGAAGUUCAAUAAGUUUCAAAAAACUCCCCGGUGUUAUGUCCCACUCUGGGCCUCGAAAUGCAUAUUGGUAUAACAUGAGAAUCUCGAGAUUUGGCAGCAGCGAACCAAUAUCAUUCAUAUAAUUCCAAGGAUACCCCCUAACCCAGACAACAAUAACACUGUGAGACUUGAUGGAAACAUUGAAAGAGGAAUCGUAUUACACUCAUACUUUAUCUCGGGAUUAUUAACCCAAUAUGAGAGUUUCUCUAGAUUCUGGAGUUGGGAGAUAUAACCCAAGCAGCUCAAUGGGUUUCUUUCAUCAUCAUCAUCAUCACAAGGCUUCAACUCCACUUCAAUCAUUAAUCUCUUUAAAUUAGGAAUUCUUUUGAGAACUUCCCUUGUAAAACUGUUUGCACUCACACAAUUAAGUGUCAUGAGUUUGUUCAAGGCAGCAUCAUCCGUAUUAGGGGUUGGUAUUCCCUUCCCCAAAUCUAAAGAUGUUCUAGUUCUUGCAUGUCCCAAAUUUGCACAGGCAUAUAAGGCUGAACUCCACGCUUUUUAAUGUAUAUAUAUGGAUUGAUAAUCAAGAAUUGAAGGUGAAAAAGGUUGGAUAUGGAAGGAGGGAGUUCCCCGUUGCAUUUUAGGGAAAUGUAACGCAGACAAACAAGUUUCAAAAUUUCAAUUGGGAUAUCAUAAAAUCGAACUCCAAAAGCAGCUAGCACCCUGAGCAACUUAAAACCCAUGGCAUGUAUUGGGAUUGGAUAAGGGUGAUCGGGACCAUGACAAAGGAGAGAACGGGCAGUGGAUGCACAAUCACUUUUUAUUAAAUCACACACUUGUUUGAAGCAGAAUAAGUUGUUGUAAUGGGCACACAUGCGACGCUGGUCUUUAAUAACAUCAUCACAACCUCGUAAGACAUGUAGAAACUUGAUCCUACUAGCUUCUACCUUACAUAAGUGCUGCCAACAAGAAUGCACGCGAUACUUUCUCUCUGAAAACCACGAAAUUUUUGUGUCGAGAAGAAGAUGAUACGACUCAGAAAGCUUUUCCCAGAAACCUUCAAAACUUUUUUCAAAAUUCAGUUCAAGAAAGCCCUCAGCACUCAACAGAUGAAUGAUAUCGAAUGGUCUUUGAUCAGCAUAAGGAGGGAAAGCUCCCAUAUAGAGAAAAGGCAUUUUAAAAUGUUGGGGUAAGUAGUCAUAGCUUGGGAAAAGUACCUCUGAUAUUUGAUUAUAUGCUUCCACAAAGAGUGAACUAUGUUGUUUGAGUACCUCAGUCCAAUAUUCUGGGGUCUUGUCGGCUUUUGAUAGGAGCUCUGCAACCUUGACUAUCAUAAGAGGAAGACCUUCACAUUUCUUGGCAAUCUUCUCUCCCAGUUCCUCAAGUUGGAGAGGGAAACCUUCUUCACUAAACACCUUCUCACCAAACACCUUCUCACCAAGUAAUUUCUUACUAUCUUCUUCAUUCAACAAGCUCAUUCUUAUGCCCCUAUGCUGCGUGAAUUUUAUAGCUUGUCUACUUGUAAGUAUUAUCCAAUCCCUCCAACUAUAUUAUUUUCUUUCAAGCAAUUUAUCACGUGUCUUAUUGCUUGUACCUCCCAAACAUCAUCCAACAACGAUGAGACAUUUCUUAUCCUGCAAUAAUUUUUCUUUCAAUAGUCCAACUAAUUCCUCCUCCUCACCAUCAUCUCCUUGGGCAAGCAUUCGGUAAAGCGUUGGGAUCCACUUGAGCUAGAACGCAGCGUAAUAGUUCAUUGGGCUCGCAUUUUCUGCCCACUUUGACCCAUGCUCGAAACUCAAAAUGGCUCCGAAUUGAUGGAUCUUCAAAAAAUGUUUAGCAAGAUUGUCUUUCCAACGCCGCCAUCCCAAAAUCGAAUAGUGUUUAUCUUCAAGAAGAUUAUCUCUGGCGUCUUGAAAUGCAUAAGAUUUUCCAACCAUCUUUGAGUUGAUUCCACCAAAAUCGAUUCUUGAGGAAAUAGGCUCGCCUUCUUCUUCAGCCAUAUUCUCCAUUUCAUUAGUGUACUCUUCCUCCAUCAUCUUCACCAUCUCGACGAAGCAAUCAACAUGGUGUUGAAGACUCUGCAGAUCUACAGAGAAUGACAAGUUGUGUCUCUCGCUUUGGAGUUGUGGAAGAAUCUGAGGUAAGAUAUGGGAUUCGAGUAAAUCUUCGAAUUCCCAAACUGCCUCUUUUAUGAGUUCAUCCAAAGCAUUCACCUCUGUCCUGAUCUUGCUGCAGCUGGUCUCGUCCAAUUUGAGCAGAACUUUCUGCAAGCGAUCCAUCUGGUCGUGGAGAGUGGGAAACGAGAGAAAUGCGAGACGAUUGUAGAAUACGCAGAAUCGUAUUCUUGAGAGAAGCCGCCGCACCAAAAGCCGCCAUACCCAAAUUAUCAGCUGAGAUACGAUAUAUUGUUGAAAUGAAAUUGCUUAGCUCUGCAAUUUUCCUCCAAAAUGAAGCUUAAACUAAACUGCAAUUAGCCCAGAAGAAAAUUCAGUCGCCUAAGAAAGAAACGGAGAAGAAGAAGAAGGAAUUAUAAUAAGCAAACGCAGACGAAACAAAUGAUAGAUCUCAGUUCUCUGCUUGGUAGUAUUUAUAAUUAAGAUAAGAUUGACCCUCACACCAUAAUUACCCUAGGGUUGAGUUUCUACGAUGAUACGAUGUUUGGUUGUAGUUUAGGCAUGAUUUCAGAAAACAUUAAAUACAAAACGAAGAAUUUUGAAAACAUGGAGAGAAAGUAUAGUUCGUUAGGACUUCCUAUUUAAUUUUUUAAUUUACUUCAAUUAAUUUAUUUGUAUUCCUCAGUCAUCCCGCAACUAAUUACAGAAAAAGUUACUAUAUCGAUUCUUACCUUGUAAAUAGUGUAAGGUGAUUAGUAUGAUGGAAUGGAAUAAGAGUGGAAUGGAAUGACCGAAUGAGGGUGGGAAAUGAAUGACAAAUUUUAGGUGAUUUCUAUGCUUGUUAUGCACAAGGAAUACCAAAUGAAUGGAAUUGUCAUUUUUUGUUUAAUUCAAUUUCUAUGAUGAUUCUAAAAAAAAAUCAUAUGAUUGGUAGCUAGAAAUAAAGUUUAGGAAUUUAAUUAUUUUAUUUUUUUAAAAGUAUUUUUUAUUGAAAAAAAUACUUUUUAUAUUUUGAGUAAUAAUAAUAAUAAUAAUUCAUGUUUUAUACAAAUAUACAUGUCAAAACUUAAAUUUAGAAGGAUUAAGAAUGGAAUGGAAUGGCUAAUACCAUGAUAGGUGAUUCUCAUAGAUGUAGGAAUAGUGAUUCCUACAAAACAGUGACGGAUCCAAGAUUUUUGAUUUGGGGUACUAAAUUUAUACGAUGUCUGAAAUAUUUGUAUGAGGGUUCGGGCGAGAGCUCCCGAGCUAAUUAUUUUAAACAUUCCCUACAAUUCAUUUUUAUAUUCAAGUAGAAUUUUAAUGAACUUAUAAUUAGAAUCGAUCACUUAAUAUAAUAAAUAGUUGUUCGCAUUCAUCCACCGACAAGUACAUUGAAAGCAUAUAAAGACAUACUAUUACGCAUUUAAAAAAAAUAUUUCAUAUUGUAAAAAAAUAAACUAAUUCAUUAUUAAUAGUUCAUAAUUUUACUUUGACUCGAUCAUUACUCAAAUUCAAUACUAAAAAUUAUCUAAGAAAUGAAAAUGAGUAAAAAAUAAUACAAAUUUAACAAACUAAUAUAACAAAUCACUAUAAAAUAUUAAAUAAUUAACAUGAAUAUUAUAAUUAUUAAAAUGAUAUAUUAUAUUUUUUCUUGUAUUAUAUAUAUAUUAGAAAAAUAUAAGAAAUUUGGGGGUACACCUUGCACCAAUGUGGCUCCGCCACUGCUACACAAAGAACAUACCAAGCAAAUGAAUGGAACGAAGGUAGGAAUCAUUAUUCCAUUCCGACUUCCAUUACAUCAUACCAAUCACUUAGGUCCCUUUAUCAUUAUUGUUGAGACAAUCGCCGAAAAUCACAAGAACACACAACGCAAUAAACGAACAAGAAACGCAAAGUAAGAACGACGCAAAGAGUUAUAAAUCACCUAACAAAGAAACGAAGAAGGAAUUAUAAUAAGCAAAUGGAGUUGAAAGAAAUUAUAGAUCUCAGCUCUCUGCUGUACCUCUCGUGGAGGAGUUGGCGCAAGUCGACGGCGGCGGCGGCAGUUGGUUUUCAAUACCAUAAGCACCCUUCCUCUCUGUGCACGAAAAUUGUAAUGUGAAUUUUAGUAAAUGAUUUGAAAAGAUGUGUGUGUAAUGUAAUGGUAAAAUGGAUCAAAGUUGAUGAUUUUGAAGGAAAUUGUGUGGAAGAAUAGUUGCGAGAAACUAAGCAACCGAAGACUAGUUAUGAUGAUUGAGCAAUCAACUAGUUGAUCAAGUCUAUAUGCGCGUUGAGCAUUAAUCAACUCCA